rnacentral:rRNA from 1 species
AUUGAACGCUGGCGGCAUGCCUUACACAUGCAAGUCGAACGGUAACAGGUUAAGCUGACGAGUGGCGAACGGGUGAGUAAUAUAUCGGAACGUGCCCAGUCGUGGGGGAUAACGUAGCGAAAGCUACGCUAAUACCGCAUACGAUCUACGGAUGAAAGCGGGGGAUCGCAAGACCUCGCGCGAUUGGAGCGGCCGAUAUCAGAUUAGGUUGUUGGUGAGGUAAAAGCUCACCAAGCCUGCGAUCUGUAGCUGGUCUGAGAGGACGACCAGCCACACUGGAACUGAGACACGGUCCAGACUCCUACGGGAGGCAGCAGUGGGGAAUUUUGGUCAAUGGACGCAAGUCUGAUCCAGCAAUGCCGCGUGCAGGACGAAGGCCUUCGGGUUGUAAACUGCUUUUGUACGGAACGAAACGGUGAGCUCUAAUACAGUUUGCUAAUGACAGUACCGUAAGAAUAAGCACCGGCUAACUACGUGCCAGCAGCCGCCGUAA